GCAUAUCAAUAAGCGGAGGAAAAGAAACUAACCAGGAUUGACCUAGUAAGGGCGACUGAAGCGUCAUGAGCUCAAAUUGUGAAUCAGUGCUUUUGCACCGAAUUGUGGUCUAGAAACACUUGCGCUAGCGGCCGGGCUAAGUCCCUUGGAACAGGGCAGCAUAGAGGGUGAGACUCCCGUGUGCCUGGCCUUUUGAGCUGGAUGUCUACGAGUCGAGUUGUUUGGGAAU
rnacentral:rRNA from 1 species